rnacentral:rRNA from 1 species
CCUACGGGUGGCAGCAGUAGGGAAUAUUGCUCAAUGGGGGAAACCCUGAAGCAGCAACGCCGCGUGGAGGAUGAAGGUUUUCGGAUUGUAAACUCCUUUUGUUAGAGAAGAUAAUGACGGUAUCUAACGAAUAAGCACCGGCUAACGCCGUGCCAGCAGCCGCGGUAAUACGGAGGGUGCAAGCGUUACUCGGGAUCACUGGGCGUAAAGAGCGCGUAGGCGGGAUAGCAAGUCAGAUGUGAAAUCCUAUGGCUUAACCAUAGAACUGCAUUUGAAACUGUUAGUCUAGAGUAUGGGAGAGGUAGGUGGAAUUCUUGGUGUAGGGGUAAAAUGCGUAGAGAUCAAGAGGAAUACUCAUUGCGAAGGCGACCUGCUAGAACAUAACUGACGCUGAUGCGCGAAAGCGUGGGGAGCAAACAGGAUUAGAUACCCUAGUAGUC